AGAGUUUGAUCCUGGCUCAGGACGAACGCUGGCGGCGUGCCUAACACAUGCAAGUCGAACGGAGUUGAAAGGAGCUUGCUUUUUUCAACUCAGUGGCGGACGGGUGAGUAACGCGUGAGUAACCUGCCUUUCAGAGGGGGAUAACGUUCUGAAAAGAACGCUAAUACCGCAUAAGAUUGUAGCUUCGCAUGGAGCAGCAAUCAAAGGAGCAAUCCGCUGAAAGAUGGACUCGCGUCCGAUUAGAUAGUUGGCGGGGUAACGGCCCACCAAGUCGACGAUCGGUAGCCGGACUGAGAGGUUGAUCGGCCACAUUGGGACUGAGACACGGCCCAGACUCCUACGGGAGGCAGCAGUGGGGAAUAUUGCACAAUGGAGGAAACUCUGAUGCAGCGAUGCCGCGUGAGGGAAGAAGGUUUUAGGAUUGUAAACCUCUGUCUUCAGGGACGAAAAAAAGACGGUACCUGAGGAGGAAGCUCCGGCUAACUACGUGCCAGCAGCCGCGGUAAUACGUAGGGAGCAAGCGUUGUCCGGAUUUACUGGGUGUAAAGGGUGCGUAGGCGGAUUGGCAAGUCAGAAGUGAAAUCCAUGGGCUUAACCCAUGAACUGCUUUUGAAACUGUUAGUCUUGAGUGAAGUAGAGGUAGGCGGAAUUCCCGGUGUAGCGGUGAAAUGCGUAGAGAUCGGGAGGAACACCAGUGGCGAAGGCGGCCUACUGGGCUUUAACUGACGCUGAGGCACGAAAGUGUGGGUAGCAAACAGGAUUAGAUACCCUGGUAGUCCACACUGUAAACGAUGAUUACUAGGUGUGGGGGGUCUAACCCCCUCCGUGCCGGAGUUAACACAAUAAGUAAUCCACCUGGGGAGUACGACCGCAAGGUUGAAACUCAAAGGAAUUGACGGGGGCCCGCACAAGCAGUGGAGUAU
rnacentral:rRNA from 1 species